CUUUCAAUCCCCCUCCCUCUCUCUCCCUCUCGUCUCUCUAUUCCUCGUCCCCUCUUUGUUCAUCCCGUGACCAAUCCGCAAUCCCCUCUCUGGCUCUCUCCCUUGAUGGCGGCACGAGGCAGGGAGGACGUAGGUGAGCUGCGAGAGGCACGAGCGGAGCGCGAGCGCCGGAGGGUGCGGACGGAUGGAGCGCGGAAGGGGCUUGACGGAUUGGAAUUGCCGGUCGCUGCUCGCUGGUGGGGAGAGGCAGGCAGGCCGCAGCUCGCGCCUUGGCGCGCCCGGGUGAGCAGCUACCGGCAUGUCGCCUGGCGAGCGCGGCCCAGGGCAUGCGCGUGGCGCUAGGCAUGUGACGGAGCAGUGCUGGGCGUGGGAGACGCGGUGUGCGCGGCGGCGCCUGGCCGUGGAGUCUGCAUGAGCGCUGCACGAGGGGACCUAGCUGCCUGCCUGCCUGCCUGCGCAAGGGUAAUUGCGAUUUGUGGAUCAAUUUAGCUUUCAAUGUCAUAUGUUUACGGGCUGUUUUUCCCAAACAUGGACUGGGCAACAUCCCCAGAGUCCAUCCGUACUCGUUCUCUUCAUUUUUCGACGAGCUCACCGGCACUCUUCUUCCGUGUUAUCUUCGAGUGGCAGCCGAACCGACCGCCCCACGCCGCGCGGCCGGACGGGAUUGGCCACGCCCUCCCCGUCAGAGCAAAGCGCCGAGGCGGAUGGCGGGCCGGGCGCGGAGGGAUUGGACGCCUGGACCCUCGCCGGUGGGGCAGAGCAGGAGAGAGGAGAGGAGCAGAGAGGCUGCCAGUGGGAGAUAAGGAGAAGAGAGACAUGGGAGAUAGGAUAGAGAGGAGUGCCAACAGGUGGGGCCUGACUUAAAAGGGGUAAAAUCGUCUUUUCUAACCACACUAGGCAUGUUUGGUUCGUUAGAACCUCCUAAAAUUCAUAUCAUAUCGAAUGUUUAGAUACUAAUUAGAAGUGUUAAACAUAGACUAAUUACAAAACUAAUUGCACAGAUGGAGGCUAAUUUGCGAGACAAAGCUAUUAAGCCUAAUUAGUUCAUGAUUUGACAAUGUGAUGCUACCGUAAAUAUGUGCUAAUGAUGGAUUAAUUAGGCUUAAUAGAUUCAUCUCGCGAAUUAGCCUCCGUCUGUGUAAUUAGUUUUAUAAUUAGUUCAUAUUUAGUCCUCCUAAUUAACCUCCGAAUAUUCGAUGUGACAUGUCCGGACUAAAGAUCCAAACACCGCCUUAAUAAAUGGAAAUUGGCAAUGAGUGGAUAAAUUAAAAUUUUAAUGGCACUGAAGGGAUUUCUCAAAAUUUUAUGGCAUACAAGGUAGUUAUCAAAAUUUCUAUGACACCGAGGGAAUUUACUCAAACUCAUUUGGGUCCUGUUUAGUUACCCCAAAAUUCCAACUUUGUCACUAUGCAAAAAGAAGAUUCCCCAUCACAUCAAACUUACGGUACAUGCAUGGAGUACUGAAUGUAGACAAAAUCAAAAACUAAUUGUACAGUUUGGUUGUACUUUGCAAGAUGAAUCUUUUGAGCCUAAUUAGUCAAUAUUUGGACAAUAAUUUACAAAUACAAACGAAACGCUACAAUAUGUUACAGUGCUGACGUAGUGAUUUUGGUUGCCCGAAAUCAGGCAACUAAGGCCUUGCCUCUGUUAUUUCUAGCUGCAUACAGUAGACAGUAGCACUCCUACGUACAGUACUACUGUACCUAGUUGUUACUGUGUCUUGGAUUGUUUCAUGUUUGCUGAAGAAAUGGCAAGCAUCUGGCAUUCUGGCCCCUGUGUUGCCAUGCCAUGUCGACAUGUUUUGGAAUCUGGACCAGGCCACGUCCAGCCGUGCAUUCUUGCCCCUUGGGCGGAUACAAAGAGGAGGGCCCUCCAGCGUGUCCAUCCGGGCCAUCCCUGUCUGUGUGCCCUUCAGGCCAUGGUGCUUUGGGCUGUUCCCUUCCACGCUGCUCUCUCGCGGGCUUUUGCUUGAUUACUCUGUGGUGUUUGGAUACGAGGUGACAGUGUCACAUCGGAUAUGUUAAUUAGGAGAACUACAUAUGAAUUAAUUAUAAAACUAAUUGUAGAACCAUGUGCUAAUUCGCGAGACGAAUCUAUUAAGCCUAAUUAAUCCAUCAUUAGCAAAUGGUUACUGUAGCACCACAUUGUC
rnacentral:lncRNA from 1 species